rnacentral:rRNA from 1 species
UACAGGGGGUGCAAACGUUGCUCGGAAUCAUUGGGCGUAAAGCGCACGUAGGUGGUCUGUUAUGUCAGAUGUGAAAGCCCUCGGCUUAACUGAGGAAGUGCACCUGAAACUGGCAGGCUUGAGUACGAAAGAGGGUCGCGGAAUUCCCGGUGUAGAGGUGAAAUUCGUAGAUAUCGGGAGGAACACCGGUGGCGAAGGCGGCGACCUGGUUCGAUACUGACACUGAGGUGCGAAAGCGUGGG